CAUAAGGUGGCUGAUAAAAGCGAAAGCCUCUUAAGCUUUAUUAUGGUAACUUACCCCUUAUGG
rnacentral:tRNA from 1 species